ACCUACGGGGGGCAGCAGUAGGGAAUUUUGCGCAAUGGACGAAAGUCUGACGCAGCAACGCCGUGUGAGCGAUGAAGGUCUUCGGAUCGUAAAGCUCUGUCAGGAGGGAAGAACCUAUCCGGUUAAUACCCGGGUACUGACGGUACCUCCAGAGGAAGCUCCGGCUAACUUCGUGCCAGCAGCCGCGGUAAUACGAGGGGAGCGAGUGUUGUUCGGAUUUAUUGGGCGUAAAGGGAGUGUAGGCGGGAAUCUAAGUCAGAGGUGUAAUUCUAGGGCUCAACCCUGGGCUUGCCUUUGAGACUGGAUUUCUUGAGUAUGGGAGAGGGCGAUGGAAUUCCUGGUGUAGCGGUGGAAUGCGUAGAUAUCAGGAGGAACACCUAUAGCGAAGGCAGUCGCCUGGAACAAUACUGACGCUGAAACUCGAAAGCAUGGGGAGCAAACAGGAUUAGAUACCCGCGUAGUCCC
rnacentral:rRNA from 1 species